rnacentral:rRNA from 1 species
AUUGAACGCUGGCGGCAUGCUUUACACAUGCAAGUCGAACGGUAACAGGGAGCUUGCUCCGCUGACGAGUGGCGAACGGGUGAGUAAUGCGUCGGAACGUGCCGAGUAGUGGGGGAUAACGCAUCGAAAGGUGUGCUAAUACCGCAUACGAACUGAGGUUGAAAGUGGGGGACCUUCGGGCCUCACGCUAUUCGAGCGGCCGACGUCUGAUUAGCUAGUUGGUGAGGUAAAGGCUCACCAAGGCGACGAUCAGUAGCGGGUCUGAGAGGAUGUUCCGCCACACUGGGACUGAGACACGGCCAAGACUCCUACGGGAGGCAGCAGUGGGGAAUUUUGGACAAUGGGCGCAAGCCUGAUCCAGCCAUGCCGCGUGUCUGAAGAAGGCCUUCGGGUUGUAAAGGACUUUUGUCCGGGAGCAAAUGCUGGUGGCUAACAUCCACCGGAGCUGAGAGUACCGGAAGAAUAAGCACCGGCUAACUACGUGCCAGCAGCCGCCGUAACAC